GACGAACGCUGGCGGCGUGCUUAACACAUGCAAGUCGAACGGAAAGGCCCUGCUUUUGUGGGGUGCUCGAGUGGCGAACGGGUGAGUAACACGUGAGUAACCUGCCCUUGACUUUGGGAUAACUUCAGGAAACUGGGGCUAAUACCGGAUAGGAGCUCCUGCUGCAUGGUGGGGGUUGGAAAGUUUCGGCGGUUGGGGAUGGACUCGCGGCUUAUCAGCUUGUUGGUGGGGUAGUGGCUUACCAAGGCUUUGACGGGUAGCCGGCCUGAGAGGGUGACCGGCCACAUUGGGACUGAGAUACGGCCCAGACGCCUACGGGAGGCAGCAGUGGGGAAUAUUGCACAAUGGGCAGAAGCCUGAUGCAGCAACGCCGCGUGCGGGAUGACGGCCUUCGGGUUGUAAACCGCUUUCGCCUGUGACGAAGCGUGAGUGACGGUAAUGGGUAAAGAAGCACCGGCUAACUACGUG
rnacentral:rRNA from 1 species